CUGUGACCAUUCACGUCCGAGUGGGCAGCGCACACCCACCCACAACCCACUGCUCGCACCUCUCGUUUGCGUACCUCGCAUAACCAUUUCCCAAAGUCAUGGCACGAAAUGGGAAGCCAUUAUUAAUCGAGCGAUCAGUAAUGAAGAGAUCAAACAGGCAGAACAUAAAAAGACUACAUUUCAAGAUGCUGAAGGAGGUUUGUAAAGUUUGGGUUGAAUACUGGCAAGCAAACCUGGUGCAUGUCUGUUGCACCUAUUGGCUGUCCUAAUUGAAGUUGUGUUAUAAAUCUAGUUCCAUCAUGAUUUCUGUUCUAAAACUUGUAUUCAUAAGCGAUACUUUAGUUAUUUAUGCCACAUUUACUUCAUUCACUUCAGGCAGCGACUCUAACGCCUGCUGUCAGGCUUGGCUGGCCAUGAGGGCCAAGUAUGCGAGAGAAUCGAAGAAACAAAGAGGCCGGAGCGGAGCUGGCCGCGAUGGUCUUGCCGUGCCAACAUGGCACCUCUUCAAGUAACUGGCCUUCCUUAAGGGCCAGAUUCAGCACCGACGCACCAAAGUGCUCCCUGUUGCGGGGGGAGUGGCGUCCACUUCUGCAGCGGCAGCAGACGUUGAAAAAUGAGGCGUGAGCCCAGAGGCAAGUUUGCUUACACGGUAAGAAAAUCUAGAACCGAUUUGGGAUCACCUGCUUUCUCCUACAGAGUCUUGUGGUAAAGUAAAAUGAAGGUCAAGGACAUUGUGAAAGAAUGCCUGACUGUUGUUACGAAAGGAAGCAUCUUGAUUCCUCCCACACACUAAGCUAGAUGCCAUGUUGACAGAUGUUUGCCCCACGUUAUUCUAUGUGCGGAGGAAGUGUUCUCGAGGUCACUUGAUUUCUUUCGCGUCAAGAUUUACCUCAUGUGCUCCAGCCAUCGGCGACAAAAAAGAAUAGCGUCUGAAACUCACUUUUUAUUUCAUUUUCGUAGCUACCGGUCUUUAUUCGGAGUGCAGACAAGCUGGCUAAGUUGACGUCAACCAGUUGGUGGCCAAAAUUACCUUCAGGGCUCCUAUUUUGGUCAUGGGCUUGGAGGUGAUCGAAUGUCACAGAAUGUGGAAGGCCAUCCGCAACCGCUAUGUUAAGAGACGAGAGCGGCGAAAGGCAAGAGUAAAGCUGGCGAGGAGGAUGUCCAGCCUCCCACGUGGGUUCUUUUCAAGUUCCUGGGGUUCCCCGAUGGUCAAAUCUGUGCAGAUGGUAGGCACAGAAUGUUUUGGACAACAAAGGGCACUGCAGAUUGUGCCGUAUUUUGUAUGCAUUGUAACGAUGACGUGGCAGAACCCUGGUUUGUCCCAAGACAAAAGGAGCCUCACACAACACCAUGUCUACAAACUGGAGUGAAGGAGCCCCCACUUCCGUGCCAGGAGGCAGGUGUUCAUAAAGAGUGCAGCUUUCCAGACAGACUCUAAUGCCCGAGUCACGGCAAAGCGACUAACGGAAACAACCGACACCGUCGCGCCUCAAACACGAGCACCAUGCACGCGAGGGUAUCUUU